rnacentral:rRNA from 1 species
GACGAACCGAGCGAACGUUAUUCGGAAUCACUGGGCUUAAAGGGCGCGUAGGCGGGCGAUCAAGUCAGGGGUGAAAGCCUCCAGCUUAACUGGAGAAGUGCCUCUGAUACUGGUUGUCUCGAGGGGGAUAGGGGCAUGCGGAACUUCCGGUGGAGCGGUGAAAUGCGUAGAUAUCGGAAGGAACACCGGUGGCGAAAGCGGCGUGCUGGAUCCCUUCUGACGCUGAGGCGCGAAAGCCAGGGGAGCGAACGGG